CUGCUUCAUUAAGCUCUUCAUUUAUAUGAAUGGCAAACACUGACUAACAAUUGAUUGGUCAGAAGAAUCGGCUUAUUCCUGUGAAUGGUGCCUAAAUAUUUUGUUUAAAAAAAUGCUUGUCCACCAGUUACAAACAAUGUAUACGCUGUACUAAAUAAUGAAGACAUGAACUGAUAAAAAAUUGGCCCAACCAUUGUCAUUUUCAACACAUUUUAAGUAUACCUACCAUGGUUCGAUAUACUGCGUAAAAAAACAAAACGAAAAACAUGAAGCCUGUAGCUAUCAAUCUCGGAUAUUCUGACGUGCGAGCCCCGUCGCUGAAGCUGGGGGCAAGUAAGCGAGCGGGAAAUAAGAAUGCCUGCUUCAAACAGAACUGGCUAGCAAGCGUUAGCCACGGCAACGCCGAGGGAGACGCACUGUCGUGUCUCCCUAUUCGAAUCCGGCAAGUAAAGCGUGCAUCUGAAACGUAUGCACAGACAAACCAAAUCAUCCCCACCCACAUUCAUUUUUCACUCGAAUACCGUUAGUCCAGCAAAUCUCAGCUACCUAAAUAACUGCAGUCGCAGGCUAUCAGGUACAUUUAAAGACAAAAAGCGUUACGCGGAUCCGGGUUCUUCAGCGCAACAUGUUACCUCUGCUGUCAAGUGGAGACCAAUUUAGCAACGUUUACAUAUACGACGAGGUGAUUUAAAAGCAGAUCCUGAAGCAAAACAAGCUUAUGGUAACCAGCUAUAGGCUCUGGCAAAUCAAUGCGGCAUUGCGAGAUCCAGGAUAUAACACCAACUACUGUAUGUCAUUAAACAUUCAGCAGCGAGUGACUUGUGACAACCGGUUUAUAUGCUCCUUUUGUCAACUGCCGUGUCGUUUGAUUUGCAAGCGUGACAAUCGCGGUUGAGGCUGUCAAACGGGUAAACUCGUUGUUUCUCGCAACACCAGGCUCUGCGAGGUAAAUACCCGUAUGGACACAGACACGCCCCCUUACCUCUCAAACGCAAGCCAGCCAAGUCUGCAGUUGAUCCAAGAGGAGAGUUGCAUCAUCAAAGUUGAUCAAAUGGACUUUUUUUUUUUUUUUAACAAAUCUAAACGGUCAAAUAAGCACGUUUUGACAAAAAUGUACCCUGUUAUAUUACACAUAAUGAAGGACCUGUACAGUAAAUAUGGUUAUCAGUAAAGAUUCAUUGUACUUCAAGUUAAACUACUGGAAAAAAACAUUAAUUGUAAUGAAUUAAUUUGACAAUAAAGUUGGACUUGACUUAAUACUCAAAGACUUUCACAUGAUGUCACGGCCUUAUACUCAAGGACAAUAACAGCAUAGCUCCAAGUAUUCAAAUAUGGUUUGCUUAUCAUCAUCAAGAGUCUAACAACCAUUAGUAAGAUCAUUUAGAAAAGAGGAUGAGGACCACUUGAUGUGUGUUCACAAAAAAAAUAUUUAAUAGACUGUAAGCAAAGUCCUUGGCAUUUCAAAGGCUUUUCCACCACUGUAAACAAAAA